CCUCUAAGCAUCAGGUAACACGAAAUCGUACCCCAAACCGACACAGGUGGUCAGGUAGAGAAUACCAAGGCGCUUGAGAGAACUCGGGUGAAGGAACUAGGCAAAAUGGUGCCGUAACUUCGGGAGAAGGCACGCUGACACGUAGGUGAAGUGAUUUACUCAUGGAGCUGAAGUCAGUCGAAGAUACCAGCUGGCUGCAACUGUUUAUUAAAAACACAGCACUGUGCAAACACGAAAGUGGACGUAUACGGUGUGACGCCUGCCCGGUGCCGGAAGGUUAAUUGAUGGGGUCAGCGCAAGCGAAGCUCCUGAUCGAA
rnacentral:rRNA from 3 species